ACGGAGGGUGCAAGCGUUAUCCGGAAUCAUUGGGUUUAAAGGGUCCGUAGGCGGGCAUAUAAGUCAGUGGUGAAAGUCUGUGGCUCAACCAUAGAAUUGCCAUUGAUACUGUAUGUCUUGAAUUAUUGUGAAGUGGUUAGAAUAUGUAGUGUAGCGGUGAAAUGCUUAGAGAUUACAUAGAAUACCGAUUGCGAAGGCAGAUCACUAACAAUCGAUUGACGCUGAUGGACGAAAGCGUAGGUAGCGAACGGG
rnacentral:rRNA from 1 species